GCUGUGAGCUCGGAUAGAAAAAUGUAUCAACCACCACGAACAGGUUGGUGUAUUGGGGCGGAUUGUUCUGUCCUCUGUAUUUCAGACCAAAGCAAGACAAUGUUUAAAGCUCGCUAUGGAUCUACUAACAGGAUCCAUUUUGAGACGACAGAUCAGAAAACACGAUAUGGAGAGAACUAAAAAAUAAAGGGUCAGUGGUCUAAAAUGAGUCUCUCUGGGGAGAGAGAGG